CGGGGCGUGGCGUAGCCUGGUAGCGCGCUGGCAUGGGGGGCCAGAGGUCGCCCGUUCAAGUCGGGUCGCCCCGACCA
rnacentral:tRNA from 5 species